AAUUGUUGCCAAGACCAAUUAAAGACAAGAUCUCAUAUGUGGGUGUGCUUUGUGAACUGCUAAACCUCAUGCAAAUAUAAGAUGGAACUCUUAUUACACAUAAAGGACAGCGUGUGAUCUAAGAGACGGCAGCACAAAACCAUCCAAAUAUCUCUAAGGAUGGCCAGGGUCCUAAACCUUUUGGAUACUCCAACUGGCAGGGGCCAAAUGCAAACACCUCCGUGUGGCAAAUGGAGAGACAGAAGUAAUGAUGGAAGACUGUAGACCAAACUUAGGCCAAAAAUUAGUUCCCAGAAUCCAUGUCCAACAUGGCCUUAGAACGUCUCUGAUGCCACAACGGAAAGAAGAGCCGGCCCAUCCAAGAGGCCAGAGAAGACUCCAUCCAUCCAGAUCUAUGUAAACAUGUUUCAAGAGUGACGUGGUCCUUCAGUAAAGGUGCACCACCCCUCAUCCUGAUGGAUGAUGCGAAGAAGUCCUCCACGUGAGGUGUGGGCUCAAUGAGAAGGGAGCCGAGUCUGGAAGAAACCAAGGCAUGGCCCAAGCGUAACCUCUUUUCCUGUGGGGAAGGUUUUCCCAUCCAUGAAAUGGGAAUGAUGACAGCACUUGAUAAUGCCAGCCAAGCUUUUAGUAGAGUGACCUGAGCUGACAGCCAUGGCUCUUCCAAAAUUUUCUGUAUGUUCGUGUUAUUUUUACUCAUUUUUUAGAAGUGUCAUAUGUUUGUGGGGAAUGAAAUACUUGGUCACCAUGUUGUGGCCUUCCUCUUCCUUCCUGUUGGUGCUUUCUGUUCUGAUGUUAAUAGAGCGGCCUGACUCUCUUCUAAU
rnacentral:lncRNA from 1 species